AUUUCAUUCACCUGUUGUAGCACUUUGAGGUUUUUUUUAAAUGUAAAGUGUAAUAUAAAUACAUGUAUUAUUAUUACCUAAUUGGAGACAUGUCAACCUAGCACAUUUUUAUGUUUUCUGAAAGACUUUACUGUUGGUCUUUUGUAGAUGGUGCGUCUUCGUGUGGUGUUGGCCCCUAUGCACCCAAGAUGACAAAGUUGUACAGGGCACACACUGCUUCAUAUGAGCAAGACAUGAAAACCCUGUUAGGGCAUCUUGAUGAUCAGACCACCGGAAUGCAUGCCCAAAGGAAAUCUGCUGCUCUUAAAGGUCUGCCAUUGGUCAUGUGGGAGGACUCUCAAAAGUUCCUGAGAACAUGUUUGGUGAGUUAUCAAUUGUGCUUCACAGCUAGAAGGUUCUGGGUUUGAUUCCCACCAGGACGGGGCCUUUCUGUGUGGAGUUUGCAUGUUCUCCCGUGUCUGCGUAGGUUUCCUCCGGGUACUCCGGUUUCCCCUACCACUAAAAACAUGCAUUAUAAUGGGUGAAUCCUCCAGCCAGGUGAUUCUGACCUCCAGCCUGACUACACAUCUGCGGAUGGGUCCCCGGGCACAACACUGCCGUCGCCUUCUGCUCCUUACGGGUCGCCCCAGUGGCAUCGAAGGAUGGGGUCAAAUGCAGAAGACAAAUUUCCUCACGGGGACAAAGUAUAGAAACAUCACAGUGGCCUCUACUAUGCUCCAGGACUAAUUGUUUAAGGGUUUCUGUUCGGUUUGGGUCCCACACCCUAAAAAAAUUGCCACAGCCACUGGGCCACCAAAAGUUUAAAGGAACAGGCCACCGUUUUUCCAUACUGAGAUAUGUUCUUACCUGAGCUUAGACGAGUUGAUACGUACCUGUCUGGUAUUUGUGCCUGUGGAGGAGCGUGGUCGCUUCCAACUUCACUCCGUUUGGAGCUAUAGGAAUAUGCUGGGAGAGGCCAAAUGAUAACAACAUCUUUGGUCUUUUUGCGUGACUUGGCUCAUGCACAAAGACCAGACAGUUGCGCAUCAACUCGUCUAAGCUCAGGUAAGAACAUAUCUCAGUAUGUAAAAACGGUGGCCUGUUCUUUUUAAUUACACAAAAAUAUCAAGUUUUUAUUUUUUUCACCAAAAAAGUUACUUGGUACCCCUUUAAUUACUUGUAAAAUCUUUGACAAAAUGUCUUCUUUUAAAACAGGAGAUGGAGCCUCCAGAAUAUAGUGUUGGUGGAAUGAAGAUGGAAGCUUUAACCAUCAUCGAGGAUGAUGCCGAGACUGUUGCGUGUGACCCAAACAUCAGGUUUUUCGCGGUUGUGCUUGAAGAACAGAUUGUUGUGGAUGAAGUAAGUGACCUGCCAAAUGCCGUUGCGCUCCUAUUUGGACUACAUGCGCUGAACAUGGACUACCCAAAUGAACUUGAAUACACGUUUGAAACUAUUCAGAAGAUGUUCAUGUGUCUGCUAGAGUACAGUCAUUCAAAAACAAAAUGUUAAGAUAUUGAUCGAGAUUGUACAAAGAGUUCUGGUGGUUCAACUGCUCACAAGAAAAACAUCUAUUUGUGAAAGCUCUCAUUUGUACAGGGACUACAAAUUGAUGUGAAUCUUCAAUCGUUUACUGGUCUGGGUUUACCGAGCAAAUUUUCUCCAGUUCAGCUUUACCCAAAUCUAAAAGCUUCUUGACUGACUUAUAGGCCGGUAUGAUGCCUCAUUUGAAAGCUAAUACCUACAAAACUGAUCAAAACUUUUUUUGUCGUGUUGUGGUUACUUUUUCAUUGCAUUUUGUCUCUUCUUUCGUCGCUUUAUUUAUAAUUUUUUGCUAUUUCGUCACUGUAGUCGCGUUUUUGUCGCUUUUUGUUGUGUUAUUGUUGUUUUCCCAGCAUGUCCUUUUUUUUCCCUCACUCUUUAGUCAUUGUGUUAAUGUUGCUUUUCCGGGAUGUUUUUGUCACUCUUUAGCCACUUUUUUUGCUUUUAGUUUUGGGUAAUGCCAAUCUGGACAAAGUGUGCUCAAUUAAAGUGUUGUAUUAGGAUAUUUUGCUUCAAAUCGUAAAAGCUUGUAGAAUCAUAGAAUGCAUGCAAUUGACCACAUGCAUUCUGGAGUGGCUUAACAUAAGACAUUAGUUGUUUACAGAAUCAAUUAAUUGGCCAAUUGGUUUCCAUGGUUUCUGUAAACAUUUCAUGGUUUCAAUGCAGGGCAGUCAGAUCCAGGCUACAGCUUUACAUUAGAGCACAAUGUGAACAGCAGUAAAAGAAAGGAAUAUACAGCAACAAAACGCUCAACAUCAAAGUUAUGAUGGUAAGGCAAAUUUUAGCGCUUUAUAUACCUUUUUAAUUUACUGCCGUUUAUAUUAUUAGCAGCGCUCUAAUGCCAAGCAAAGAAGCUCUUGCCUGGAUCUGACCCACCAUCCUGCUUUGAAACAACUGAAUGCUUACAAAAAAUGUGGAAACUAAGGUAUGUGGUUUGUGGAUGUUGCAAAGCUUACUUAACUAACCCAGUCCAGUUGACAAUUUACGCUUUACUUUGAUUUUUUAUAUUUUUGUAUUGACAGUUUUUAAAAACUUUCAUAUAAAAGAAAUAUACACUUGCAUACAUACUAGGGCUGAAAGAUAUCUCUAUCGAUAUGAUAACGAUAUAUGAACAUUCAAAAUAUCAAUGUCGCAAAAGAAAAAUAUAUUGCAUUUAUAUCGCGAUAUGAACACUCAAAAUAUUAAAAUCAAAAAAGCAAGAUAUAAACGAUAUAGAUUUUCAUCAAUAAAACUGCACUCUUUUGUAUUAUGAUUUUAUUUUUCUGAAAAAUGCUUAGUUUUCACCUAACCCAUAGUUGUAUCGUAUCGAUAGAGAUAUCUGGCAUGAAUAUCGAGAUGAAAUUUUGUCUAUAACGUUCAGCCCUAAUGCAUACUUUACUUUACUUUACUUUGACUAAAGAUUUUUCUAGUUUGAUAAGAGCCAGUUGUACUGCACUUGUUUUGCUCACAACUAUUGCAGCUGUUAAAUAAUUGCACUUUACCAUGUUAAACACUUAACCAUAACAAGCUUUAUUGCUGCAGCUGUUUGAAUAAUUGCACUGCAAUAUGUUGAACACUUAAUGUUUGUAGAACAGAAAAUAUUAUUUUUAGUUAAGCUUGAAUUGUUGCCAGAGGUAUAGGGCAGUGCUUGGGGAAAAAGUAAACUAGUCAGUGCAAUGCUCAGGUUUCUGAGAUGAGUAAUUUUCAAAACAUAUUGUGAGUUUUUAUAUUUGUCUUAAUAAAUUCCUCAAAUGUUGAUUUUGUUAUCCUUUUAUUUGUUAAAUAUUGAAAUGAUACACGGUACAGGACCCCAGAUUUCAUGCAUCUUAAUGUCAGAUCAAGAGAAUUUUCAUGCAAUUAACAACCAAAUGGAAAAUUAUAAUGAAAUACUUUUUUAGAUAUUGAUUGAUGGCUUCUUCUAAGAUGUUUGUGUUUUUAUAGUAAGCUCAGUUGUGCAUUCUGUUUUCAAGAAUGACAUGUUCCAUCUUGAAGUUAUUCCCUAAAUUACAUAAACAAAUUGUAAGUGUAAACCUUUAUCAUUUGACUCAACUUAAAAUAGUAAAGCAACUGGCUGCAAAGCUUUUUUGAGUUCACUCAACUUUAUCAAGAAGCAAG
ensembl:lncRNA